CAAGGACUGAUUUCAUAUCCUGAGAGAGGAGAAAGAUGAGCACAGCCGAGAUAAAUAUUCAACCAAGCAACGUCUCCUGCUCACAAAGCAUCUUCCCUAGGAGUGCUGCAUUUAAAAACACCUAAACUUCAGAGCCUGACACUACAGCUCUUGAGGGUGGUGGUAGCAGGAUGGACAAGGAUUGAACCAACAAACAAACAAGGAAGGAACUCCUCUGAAACUUUCCAGAUCGAAAAGCACACACAGAAUUUUCUUUUCAAGAGGUUUUAAUGAAGAGUCAUAUUUUUAAACCUCUCACACUGUAUAACACAUUUAACUGUACA